ensembl:lncRNA
UCCCAGGCUCCAGUCACCUUCCCCUCCCCCUGCUUCCGCCCCGCCAAGACCAGCAGUCUAAGCCGCUGUCCCUGGUGCCUGUGCCUCGGGCCUUUUGGCCGCGUUUGUCCUCCUGACUGGGCGACUAGCUCAGGCGGAGUGGGCAUUGGGGGCGACUGUUCAUGGGGAAGAUAUAAAUAAUUAAUCGGUGUAAGAGUAUUCUCUGACGAGACACACGAAACCUGCAGUGCCUUAGUGCUCUCCAGCUGGCAUUUUGCAUCACAGCUUCCUAAAAAAGGUGCUGACUCAGCCAUUGAGACAUGUUAUCCAAGGAGCGGAGCUGGGAGGCGCCUGUGAGGACCGUGAGGGCCCACACCUGGGUGUUGCUUAUCUUGGGGGAUUUUCACCUCCUCUGCAAGAAGGGCCGCUGACCACAGGGCUCUGUAAAGUUGCUACCUGCCUUGCCGUAUUUUUCAGAACCCAUCUCCAAAAUGUUGGUACACAACAGGAUACAAAAGCACACACAAAGGGGAAAGCAAGAAGACCCAGCAGACAUGAGUGAAAACAGCUGCCUGCACAAGUUGUCCCCUAACAGGUACAGCCAAGAGUCAGAAGCACAGAGGGAGCUGGGGAAGCGACAUUUCUUACAGAGCCCACUGCUGUCCCUGUGUGAAGUGGCUCAUAUCAGCUCUCGAUUCUAUGCCGGUGUUCUGGAUUUCCUCUUGAGAUGUGCAUUUGUAUCAGCCAUCCUGUCCCCUGUGCCUCUGACGAGCUCCCUUCUGGAUGGCCUGCUGUCAUGCUGAGAUGACCCUUCACUAACAUCUGAGAAGUCCCUUUGCUGUUCUACGGUGUGGAAAACUUGUUUCCUCCAUCUCAUGUCUUCUUCCUUGCUUAAUUCCUUUGUUUAAUGAAACAAAUUAAUUCCUUUGUUAAUGAAACUUCCCAAUAGUUUCCUAAGAAAAGUGUGUAAGUGGUCAACUAUUUGCAACCUAAUAUGUCUGAAAAUUCUACAUAUACUUUUAACAUGUAGUUUGAUUGGGUAGAUGAGUCCAGUGUGGAAAUAUUUUUUCAAAAAUUAGAAGCUAUUGCACUAUUGUCUUGUAGUAUGGUGUGUUGCUUUUGAGAAGUUGUAAGCCAUUUUUUUUUAAUCCUUUGUGUGUUUAUAUCUUUUCUUCUGUUUUUGCACCUCACAACCUUUUAUUUAUUUUUUCUCAUCAAUGCAAUAAACUUUCAUGAUGACAGGGCUUGUGUGGGUCAUGCUGUUCAAUUCUGGGAAAUUUCCUUGACUGACUUUAUUGGUGAUUUCCUCCUCUCCAAUUUUUCCAUUCUCCCUCUUUGGAACUUUUUAUUAUUUGGGUGAAACAUAAUUAUUGGUCUGUAGUGGUCUUCUAAUUGUCUUUUCUCUUUUAUUUUCCAUCUG